AGUGAACGCUGGCGGUAUGCCUAACACAUGCAAGUCGAACGGCAGCACAGUAAGAGCUUGCUCUUACGGGUGGCGAGUGGCGGACGGGGGAGGAAUACAUCGGAAUCUACUUUUUCGUGGGGGAUAACGUAGGGAAACUUACGCUAAUACCGCAUACGACCUACGGGGGAAAGCAGGGGAUCUUCGAACCUUUCGCGAUGGAAUAAGCCGAUGUCGGAUUAGCUAGUUGGCGGGGUAAAGGCCCACCAAGGCGACGAUCCGUAGCUGGUCUGAGAGGAUGAUCAGCCACACUGGAACUGAGACACGGUCCAGACUCCUACGGGAGGCAGCAGUGGGGAAUAUUGGACAAUGGGCGAAAGCCUGAUACAGCAAUACCGCGUGGGUGAAGAAGGCCUUCGGGUUGUAAAGCCCUUUUGUUGGGAAAGAAAAGCAGCAGGUUAAUCCGCCGCUGUUAUGACGGUACCAAAAGAAUAAGCACCGGCUAACUUCGUG
rnacentral:rRNA from 1 species